rnacentral:rRNA from 1 species
CCUUCGGGAACCGUGAGACAGGUGCUGCAUGGCUGUCGUCAGCUCGUGUUGUGAAAUGUUGGGUUAAGUCCCGCAACGAGCGCAACCCUUAUCCUUUGUUGCCAGCGGUCCGGCCGGGAACUCAAAGGAGACUGCCAGUGAUAAACUGGAGGAAGGUGGGGAUGACGUCAAGUCAUCAUGGCCCUUACGACCAGGGCUACACACGUGCUACAAUGGCGCAUACAAAGAGAAGCGACCUCGCGAGAGCAAGCGGACCUCAUAAAGUGCGUCGUAGUCCGGAUUGGAGUCUGCAACUCGACUCCAUGAAGUCGGAAUCGCUAGUAAUCGUGGAUCAGAAUGCCACGGUGAAUACGUUCCCGGGCCUUGUACACACCGCCCGUCACACCAUGGGAGUGGGUUGCAAAAGAAGUAGGUAGCUUAACCUUCGGGAGGGCGCUUACCACUUUGUGAUUCAUGACUGGGGUGAAGUCGUAACAAGGUAACCGUAGGGGAACCUGCGGUUGGAUCACCUCCUUACCUUAAAGAAGC